UACGUAGGGGGCAAGCGUUGUCCGGAUUUAUUGGGCGUAAAGAGCGUGUAGGCGGCCAGGUAGGUCCGUUGUGAAAACUGGAGGCUUAACCUCCAGCUGUCGAUGGAAACCAUCUGGCUAGAGUCCGGAAGAGGAGAAUGGAAUUCCUGGUGUAGCGGUGAAAUGCGCAGAUAUCAGGAAGAACACCCGUGGCGAAGGCGGCUCUCUGGGACGGUACUGACGCUGAGACGCGAAAGCGUGGGGAGCGAACAGG
rnacentral:rRNA from 1 species